rnacentral:tRNA from 1 species
AAGCGCGUGUUCAGCGGAUUCUGGACGCGGGGGAGCGAACCCCGCUGGCAGAGGUUCGACUCCUCUCGCGCGCACCA